rnacentral:rRNA from 1 species
GACGAACGCUGGCGGCGCGCCUAACACAUGCAAGUCGAACGAGCGAGCGGGAGCUUGCUUUCUUGCGCGAGUGGCGAACGGGUGAGUAACGCGUGAGGAACCUGCCCCAGACAGUGGGAUAACUGCAGGAAACGACUGCUAAUACCGCAUAGGAGCACGGGCCCCAAUGGGAGGGUGGGAAAAGGAGCGGUCCGCGUUGAGAUGGCGCCGCGUCCGAUUAGCUAGUUGGUGGGGUAAUGGCCCACCAAGGCGACGAGGGGUGGCCGGGCGGGGGGGAGGAACGGCCAGGAUUGGACUAAGGCACAGCCCCGACUGCGACGGGGGGGAGGAGUGGGGAAUAUUGCGCGAGGAAGGAAACCCUGAUGCAGCGGCGCGGGGUGUGAGGAGAAUGUGUUUGUAUUGUAAACUCCUGUUGUAGGAGAAGAUAGUGACGGUACCCAGCAAAGAAGUAACGGCUAACUACGUG